rnacentral:lncRNA from 1 species
GACAAAUCUUCCUCCAAUAAAUAAAUAAAUAAACAGAAUGAAAAAAUUUCAAACUUCUCAUUUCCGCAGUUAGGACUCACCUAAGACAGCAGAAUCAUGAAAGUGACAUGUCAGUGGAGAUGUGAUUAUCGACCUGUGAGCCCCUCAUCUAGAGUGAGAGGGAGCAUGGCAUGUGGUCCAUCUUCCUUGGGGUGCUCCAGAAUGGGCUGACAAAGGGCCGGAGAGCUGACAUAGCCCUGAGAUUCCUCCUUUUCCCUUUCCCUUUCCCGAGGGACAUCUGUGAGCAGGGAGUAGCUCAUGAGACCUCCUAACAUGAGGAGAAGGGCAUCUCAUUUGCUGAACUCCAGGUAUCUCCACCUGCAUCUCUGGGGACAGAAGAACAGGAGCAGCUCCCUCCUCACUUGGGCUUUGCCCUGUCUCCAUCCAUGGAGACUCAGUUAACUCUAAUCGGGCCAGAGAGCUUUGGGCUCCACCUCGCAGCCUCAGCCGCAGGAAGUCGUCAACCUUCACUAGGAGGACCCCC